rnacentral:rRNA from 1 species
CAGCAGCCGCGGUAAGACAGAGGAUGCGAGCGUUAAUCGGAAUUACUGGGCGUAAAGCGUGCGCAGGCGGCUUUGUAAGACAGGCGUGAAAUCCCCGGGCUUAACCUGGGAAUGGCGCUUGUGACUGCAAGGCUAGAGUGCGUCAGAGGGGGGUAGAAUUCCACGUGUAGCAGUGAAAUGCGUAGAGAUGUGGAGGAAUACCGAUGGCGAAGGCAGCCCCCUGGGACGAGACUGACGCUCAUGCACGAAAGCGUGGGGAGCAAACAGGAUUAGAUACCCCCGUAGUCCCUGUCUCUUAUAC